AAGACGGGAGGAGGCUAAACGGGAAUAGCAGGUCCAGGCAGGACUGUCAUCGGAUGAAGUGUCUCAGCCGCCUUGGCAACUGGAGCGAGUGAAUUAACCAUGCUUUUAUUUUUGGAUGCUUUUACAUCAUGGGUAUUGAAGUCACAAGUGUCACAUGAUGGAAGGACCUUUGAGUCACCCCCUCGGUGGAGGACUGAUCAAUCUAGAACAUUCAUGCCGCCCUUUGAGUUCUCAGGAUGCUGGCAAACGGGACUCCAGAUCUCGGCUCGGAGAGCAGAUAUAUCCUGGCCAUGCCUGAAAGGGGUCAGAAAAAUUAAGUGAGAUAAAUGAGCAGAGAGGAUUGAGUGAACGUCUUUGAUUUGUGCAAGAGAGCCAUAAAGAUAAAAUCUCUGGGACCAUUUCAUCUUACAUCAGAAACCACGCUCGCCUCCCACUCUACAGGGUCAGCAUGGUGUCUCAAAUGUUGAAGGAAGGGGGCUGAAGGCCCGGGCACAUGAAAGCACACUUGACUGAACCUGUGAUAAAUGGCUUUCAGAAUACUGGGACCCGGUGCUAUGAGCGCCCUAACAAAGACUUUCCCCUCACGUGUCCCAUCUGUAGGACAAUAGCCCCAAUGGGAGCUGUUACAGUGGGGGCAGCUCGCACGGAGCAACAAGUGAGUUUGGACAGAACACUGUGAGAUGGACUGACUUCUGUCGGUCCUACAUUCCAGAAGCCCAAGAUUUUUUAUUCUCCCUCCUUUUCUCCUUGGGCCAGCUGGCCCAUGGGCGACACCGAUGACAAUGACGAACCCCUCAUUCGUCCACAGCCCACGCUCUCCUCUGCACAGCCCCAAAGGUUCACCCCAGUGGUUUAAAACAGGAAGCUCUGGGGACCAAAAAGAGAGUGUUUGACACCAUGAGGCGUUCUGAGAACUUCUCAGAUGUUCCAAGGCACACGGCGUAGGAAGACAUGGUCUGGCACGAAUGUCGUCGUUUGGCAGCCAGCCCUCUGUGUCCUUUCCUGCGGGAUCGUCACUGAUGUUGCAGGACCAUGUGUAUAAUCAGCCACGGUGUUCCCGACUCACCUCAAACACCUGCCAGUUUUCACGGAAGCAAAUCUUGUCUCUGACAGCUGUCAUCCAAACGUGUUCUGAAAUGGCAGUGCCGUCAUGGAUGGAUUCUUCAGGACGGAGCUUUCUGAAGCUGGCUCAUGUGACAGUCUCUCCUCUGGGCAGUGUUCCUGGGCUUCCAUGGUCAUUGCAGGGCUGGUCAUUUGUUAAGAUGAUUUAGGCACAAAUGUCAGAGGAGAAUUUGUUGUCGCCAAAUAAAAACGUCCUCUAAGCAGAGACUGAUGAAUGUGCUGAGGUCUGCUCCCAGCCAUUUAGAACGAAUCCUGAAUGAAUAAUAAAACAGCCCAUCAGUGAUGUCUACAGAGGGGAAGGACACCAUCUAAGCCAUUGAGACCUCUGAUGCCAGUCCUGCUGCAGGGGGGAAAAAUGUACCAAUUCUCACAUUCUGUGGUCUCCUCAGGAAACUCAGCCAGACCACAGAUAGGUCACAAAUACAACUGAACUUUGGUGUCUUGUGUUAA